rnacentral:lncRNA from 1 species
CUUGCUCUCCAGUUAAUUGCAAAUUACAUCUUUAUUUUUAACAAAAACACUAUGUUUUCUACACAUGAUUAUUCAUUUGUGAAGGCUGGAGGCUGAUUUCCAUUUAUUCCUGACUCUCAUGAGGUUACUUGUUCCUUGUAAAUAAAAGAAAGAUGAUCAUUUCCAAAGUUCCUCAUUUUUUUCUGUCUUUUUUUUUUCUCCUUUUUUUUUUUUUCUUGCUUGUUUACUAAUGUUCCUUUUUCCUAGAAUGUGUUAGCAAAAUUGUCAUUGUUGACAAGUACCUCCAUAAAUCUAUGUAGUUACAGAGCAGGGUAAUACAAUAUCAGAUUGGGUGUGGAUAACAAAGGGUUCCCUUCAAUUAAACAAGCACUUUGUAAUUGCUCUGGUGAUCAUGACUAAGCUGAUUUCAGACCAACUGCCCUUUGUGCUACCAGAGGAGGAAGGGGAAUUUUUUCAAGGAUCUUCUGGAGAAGCAAUAAAAUGAACACCAGAGGGACAGAUAAAAACUACGCUUCUACUUCUGUUAGUGCCUCCUGCUGUGGUGCUGUGGAUUGUGGUGACCAUGGAGAGAAGCCCUGGUGAAUGUGCUCAGCACUUUGUCUUCAGCCCUUGGAGCAAAGCAUGCACCACCUGCUCUGGGAUUUUGUAAUCACACAGAAAGGGCUCAAGUGUGUCUCUGGUAAUUACUGAAUCUGCUGGUGGGUGAAGAAGGUCCAGAUAAAAGCCUAGAUGCACAAAAAGGCAAGGCUUUUUGGUGAUAUCUGCAAGUGGUUCCUGAUAAUGUAGUGCAUCUUAAGAAAAAGAAAGCUGUACAACCUGCUAUAAAGGACUAACUUUUGCAUAUUAAUGUGCAGUGGCUUAGCUGUAUCCCCUACCCAGCCAGCCGUGCUUGGUUAGACCUGCAGAGUUUUUCCCUGUUUCUGCUUGUUGACACUAGAAAUGGAGGGAAAAGUCUGCCCGUGUUCCUCCCACAUCAUGCAGUGACUAUUCAAGGGAGCCUGGAGUUUUGCAAGAUGAUACCAUCCUACUAUCUCUUGAUAGAAACUUUCACAGCACUGCCUGAGGAGAGGGAAAAUCCCAACACACAUGCAUACACCUCCUUUAAUUCCUAG